ensembl:lncRNA
AACUGCUUCUGGAGAGCAACAACUUGGUCUCCGAGAAGGAGGCGUAAUGUCAAGUUACCCUCUUUAGUUCAGAGCAAACAGAAGGCGGGAGAGCGCUACUCAAGCAUGCGUCAGAUGGAAAGCAGUGGCCGAGCGGCUGUGCAAACAUACAGCACAAAGAAGGGAAGAAGGGAGGCUCACGACGGCCCAAAGAUGAGAAGGUAAGUGACAAGGUGGCACAAGAGGGACCGCACACCUAAAGAAACAGGCGGUGAACAAUGACUCUAAAUAUGAAACAUGUCGCAUACCGGUAAGCAGCAUGUUACCAAGCAGACGUGAUUAAUGAAAACCUGGACCAUGUGGAAACAGUCGUGUGAGUUUGCUAGGCCUGCCGUAACAAAGACCCCAACUGAGUGGCUUUAAACAGCAGAAGUGUAUUCUCUCACGGUCCAGAGCCCGGGGCUUCGGAAUCAAGACUUUGACGGGGUUGGUUCCUUCCGGAGGUCCUGAGGGAGGAGUUGCUCCAGCCUCUCUCCUAGUUUCUGGUGGUUGCCAGCAGCCGUUGGCUUUCCACGGCUUGUAAACGUACCACUCCAAUCUCUGCUUCUGUCUUCACGUGGCUUUCUUUCCUCUGUGUGGCUGUGUCAAAAUUUCCCUCUUCUCAUAAGGACACUAGUCACUGGAUUAGGACCCACUGUAAUCCAAUAUGACCUCAUUUUAACUUUAUCACAUCUGCAAAGACCCUAUUUCCAAUUACAGGCAUAUUUUUUGGUUUUUGUGCUUUGCUUUAUGGCAUACUGCUUUUUUUUUUUUUUUUUUUUUGGUGAGGAAGAUUGUCUUGAGCUAACAUCUGUGCCAAUCUUCUUCUAUUUUAUGUGGGACGCCACCACAGCGUGGCUUUUUAAGCAGUGCUAGGUCCACACCUGGGAUCCAAACCUGCAAAGCCUGGGCCACCAAAGCAGAGUAUGCGAACUUCACCACUAUGCCACCAGGCCGGCUCCCAGAUACUGCAUUUUUUACAAGACCCUCCACCAGCAAAAAGAUUACUACUCACUGAAGGCUCAAAUGAUAGGUAGCAUUUUUUAGCAAUAAAGUAUUUUUUAAUUAAAGUGUGUGCAUUGUUUUUCAGACAUAAUGCUAUUGCACACUUAAUAUACCAUGGUAGAGUGUAAACAUAACUUUUAUAUGCACUGGGAAACCAAAAAAUAUUUGUGUGACUCAUCUAUUGAUAUUUGCUUUCCUGCAGUGGUUUGGAACUGAACCGGCAAUCUCUCAAAGGUUUGCUUGUAAAGUCACACUCACAGGCACCAGGGGUUAGGACUUGAACAUAUCUUUAUGGGUGACUCGAUUCAAACAACAAUAACUAUAUAACAAUAAAAUGAAGAGGAAAAGAAGAGGAAACGGAAGCAAGAGAAUUUUUGCUUGCUUCUCUUUGAAAUGGAAAGCGUAUGAGAUGCCAGUGUCUUCAUCUUUAUCUGGAAGGAGACAAUCGCUGUGUUCUCAGAUCAAGACAUGCGGUAUAGCAGAGUGUGUGUGUGUGUGUGUGUGUGUGUGUGUACAGAGAGAGCAUCCCAACCUGCUAAUUCUGUAAUGUCUUGUUCUUAGAGAAAUAAUCUUUUUUGUGGUAAAGAAACAUUUAUUUAAGUUUUGACAACUUCAGUUUAUUUUUGUUCUAUGAAAUAAGUAAAAUUUAAAUGUAAUGAUAUUUUUUCUUUUAAAGACUCCAGUACCCAUUUAGGAGGUUGCUCAUUAAGCAGUUCUGACGCUGACUUCCUCCCUGACAGCCGUCAAGGAUCAUAAAGUGUGCGAAUAAGGCAGAGCCUCGGUUAGAUUUGAAGCUCCAGCAGCCAGCAGCGUGCUUUGUCCAUAGUUGCUGCUUAAUAAAUGUGUGUUAAAUUGGAUCAUUUUGUUGCUAAUUAUGCAGAGUGUUGUACCAGAUAACAUACAACAAAAGCAGGGCCGACAGGCCUCUGGAAUCUUCACUCGUGGAGGUACAAGGUGUCCCAUUUUUAAGGACUAUAUCUUCCAUUUCUCUUUUGCACCCACAGUCCAACUCUGGGAGAUUAAUUCAGACAUAGCCGAAGGGGAGAGGGCACAGCUGUCCUCAGAUGGGCUGCCUGUACUGAAAGGGAGAUCGAGUCCUUCUUUCUGUCUGGAACGUGGUUAGUGCUCCCUGCUCUAAAGUCAUGUUCUCUGGCCCCACAGUAAUUUCCUUCCUGGACAGCAGAUUCUGCUGGUGAAAAGCCCCGGCUGAGAUCCACCGGCUCCUCGGGCUCAGCCCCUUCCCGGCAGAGGGCAUGCUGGCUGCUGACGAAUGGAGCCUGGUUCAGGAAUGAGCAGAUGCUGCUGCUGACAGGUGCUGCCAGGCGUGCUGGGACAUCCACUGAGCACCAUCGGCCUUGCACUUCCGCGGUCCUGCGGCCCCCCAACGUCAGCUCUCCUCCAACCCGUGUGGAAGGUGACAGAGAGCAGCUCAGGGUUUAGUGAAAACACCCUGCCAGGAUGGAACUGGCUUUCGCUGUUAUUAACAGGCUCUGGAGAAGGAAAACCAGGGCUAAAUGCCUGUCGCCUCUUUAUCUGCAUCUAUAUAGCUCGAAGAUCCCUCUCUUUCACCCUGCCUAGCCCUCUCUCGCUCUCGUUUGCACCCGGGUGCAAUCAAUAUUCCGCUCGAUCACAGAUUCCAGACCUGCCAGGCUGGGAUGGCGGUUCCUGUGCUGACUCAUCCACUCAGCCUGUCACCAUCACGUGCUCCCUCUGCCAGAAAGGCCACGUGGUGGGAUCUCCAGCUCUGGCUCAUCGUUGCUCCAAUCAGUUUCCUUUUCCCUUUUCCCCAGAAUGUUAUUUGAGUCCUCUUCUGUCCCCUGUCGCCCUGGGAGUCCCAGAGAGGCAUUAACAUAGGCUUGGGUUUUGCAGGACACUGAUGGAAGGUGGGCACGGAAUAGCAUUGUUCCCUGCCAGCAUCAAGAAGCAGCCACUAAACAGAGGGAAGCACAAACGCUGGUGACCAAGGGCGAGGUCUGGAGCUAAUAACACACUGUAAAUAGCAGCCCGCCCCCCAGGAUGAUAUUUUCUGUUCCCAGGUUUGGCUUGAUUUCCUAAUUUUACAAGCUAACUAUGAAGAAUUUGGCAGGGGGGAGGGGGAGUGGAGAAAAUUAAAUACUCAUUUAAAUUCUUUCCUAGCUGUCGAGUGAUGGAGGUUUCCAGCUGGCUGGACCUCAGAGAUCGCUGCGUUCAACAUCCUGUCUCCACAGAGGAGACACAAGGACACUGAGAUAGGCUGUGGCUUCCCCGAGGUCACACGGCUGGGCAGGGUCCUGGGUCCGGUCCAGGGAUAUUUCCUCGCCUCCUUUAAGUGUAAUCUCUUUGUGUGCUACUGUCCAAAUUGUUUAUUCUGCAAGUGUUUUACUCUGCAAAGGCUGCUUUGGACCCGUGGACCGACAGGGAUGCUGGCAGAGAGACCGGCAGGGGGAAGCGUGCUUCUACACAGUGGUGAUGGGAGGUCACCCUGCAGCCAGGGGUACUCGGGGAGAGUUCAGUGGCAGAGGACAGACAGAGGCUUCACACUGGAGAUUUUGAAGAAGGUGAUGGGCAAUUUGGCAUUCUGCACCUUUGGGUCACAAAGCAGUGUGAUCUCUUCUGAAAAGUUCUUUUUCCAACCUUGUGGAAAUCUCUGCAGGAAAAUGGUGCUUGGCUCCCGUUAAUUCCACUCCCCUGGUUUGCAACAAAGGAGACGCUGGCUCACAAACUAAGGAGGGAAAGGGGGACCAUCAGGGCUUACCAAGCCGAACUGCCACUCCAGGGUAAGUCAGCCCAGGGUCCCCUUAAAGGGGAAUGUGGGUAGGCUGCUUUGAUGGGAUUGUGGGCAGGAAGUAAUAAUUUGAGGGAG